AGCGUACACGGUGGAUGCCUAGGCAGUCAGAGGCGAUGAAGGGCGUGCUAAUCUGCGAAAAGCGUCGGUAAGCUGAUAUGAAGCGUAAUAACCGACGAUACCCGAAUGGGGAAACCCAGUGCAAUUCGUUGCACUAUUGCAUGGUGAAUACAUAGCCAUGCAAGGCGAACCGGGGGAACUGAAACAUCUAAGUACCCCGAGGAAAAGAAAUCAACCGAGAUUCCCCCAGUAGCGGCGAGCGAACGGGGAAGAGCCCAGAGUCUGAAUCAGUUGGUGUGUUAGUGGAAGCGUCUGGAAAGUCGCACGGUACAGGGUGAUAGUCCCGUACACAAAAACACACUGGCUGUGAACUCGAUGAGUAGGGCGGGACACGUGACAUCCUGUCUGAAUAUGGGGGGACCAUCCUCCAAGGCUAAAUACUCCUGACUGACCGAUAGUGAACCAGUACCGUGAGGGAAAGGCGAAAAGAACCCCGGCGAGGGGAGUGAAAUAGAACCUGAAACCGUGUACGUACAAGCAGUGGGAGCACCUUCGUGGUGUGACUGCGUACCUUUUGUAUAAUGGGUCAGCGACUUAUAUUUUGUAGCAAGGUUAACCGAAUAGGGGAGCCGUAGGGAAACCGAGUCUUAACUGGGCGUCUAGUUGCAAGGUAUAGACCCGAAACCCGGUGAUCUAGCCAUGGGCAGGUUGAAGGUUGGGUAACACUAACUGGAGGACCGAACCGACUAAUGUUGAAAAAUUAGCGGAUGACUUGUGGCUGGGGGUGAAAGGCCAAUCAAACCGGGAGAUAGCUGGUUCUCCCCGAAAGCUAUUUAGGUAGCGCCUCGUGAACUCAUCUUCGGGGGUAGAGCACUGUUUCGGCUAGGGGUCCAUCCCGGAUUACCAAACCGAUGCAAACUCCGAAUACCGAAGAAUGUUAUCACGGGAGACACACGGCGGGUGCUAACGUCCGUCGUGAAGAGGGAAACAACCCAGACCGCCAGCUAAGGUCCCAAAGUCAUGGUUAAGUGGGAAACGAUGUGGGAAGGCAUAGACAGCCAGGAUGUUGGCUUAGAAGCAGCCAUCAUUUAAAGAAAGCGUAAUAGCUCACUGGUCGAGUCGGCCUGCGCGGAAGAUGUAACGGGGCUAAACCAUGCACCGAAGCUGCGGCAGCGACGCUUAGGCGUUGUUGGGUAGGGGAGCGUUCUGUAAGCCGUUGAAGGUGGCCUGUGAGGGCUGCUGGAGGUAUCAGAAGUGCGAAUGCUGACAUAAGUAACGAUAAUGCGGGUGAAAAACCCGCACGCCGGAAGACCAAGGGUUCCUGUCCAACGUUAAUCGGGGCAGGGUGAGUCGACCCCUAAGGCGAGGCUGAAAAGCGUAGUCGAUGGGAAACAGGUUAAUAUUCCUGUACUGGGUGUGACUGCGAAGGGGGGACGGAGAAGGCUAGGCUAGCCGGGCGACGGUUGUCCCGGUUUAAGCAUGUAGGCGGAGUGACUUGGUAAAUCCGGUUGCUUAUCAACGCUGAGGUGUGAUGACGAGCCACUACGGUGGUGAAGUAGUUGAUGCCAAGCUUCCAGGAAAAGCCUCUAAGCAUCAGGUGACAUUCAAUCGUACCCCAAACCGACACAGGUGGUCAGGUAGAGAAUACUCAGGCGCUUGAGAGAACUCGGGUGAAGGAACUAGGCAAAAUGGUGCCGUAACUUCGGGAGAAGGCACGCUGGCAUUAGGUAAAGAGACUUGCUCUCGGCGCCGAAGCCAGUCGCAGAUACCAGCUGGCUGCAACUGUUUAAUAAAAACACAGCACUGUGCAAACACGAAAGUGGACGUAUACGGUGUGACGCCUGCCCGGUGCUGGAAGGUUAAUUGAUGGGGUCAGCCGCAAGGCGAAGCUCUUGAUCGAAGCCCCAGUAAACGGCGGCCGUAACUAUAACGGUCCUAAGGUAGCGAAAUUCCUUGUCGGGUAAGUUCCGACCUGCACGAAUGGCGUAAUGAUGGCCAGGCUGUCUCCACCCGAGACUCAGUGAAAUUGAACUCGCUGUGAAGAUGCAGUGUACCCGCGGCAAGACGGAAAGACCCCGUGAACCUUUACUAUAGCUUGACACUGAAUAUUGAGCCUUGAUGUGUAGGAUAGGUGGGAGGCAUCGAAGCGUGGACGCCAGUCUGCGUGGAGCCAACCUUGAAAUACCACCCUUUAAUGUUUGAUGUUCUAACUCGGCCCCAUAAUCUGGGGUGAGGACAGUGUCUGGUGGGUAGUUUGACUGGGGCGGUCUCCUCCCAAAGAGUAACGGAGGAGCACGAAGGUUAGCUAAUCACGGUCGGACAUCGUGAGGUUAGUGCAAAGGCAUAAGCUAGCUUGACUGCGAGAGUGACGGCUCGAGCAGGUACGAAAGUAGGUCUUAGUGAUCCGGUGGUUCUGAAUGGAAGGGCCAUCGCUCAACGGAUAAAAGGUACUCCGGGGAUAACAGGCUGAUACCGCCCAAGAGUUCAUAUCGACGGCGGUGUUUGGCACCUCGAUGUCGGCUCAUCACAUCCUGGGGCUGAAGUAGGUCCCAAGGGUAUGGCUGUUCGCCAUUUAAAGUGGUACGCGAGCUGGGUUUAGAACGUCGUGAGACAGUUCGGUCCCUAUCUGCCGUGGGCGUUGGAAGAUUGAGAGGGGCUGCUCCUAGUACGAGAGGACCGGAGUGGACGCAUCACUGGUGUUCGGGUUGUCAUGCCAAUGGCAUUGCCCGGUAGCUAAAUGCGGAAAAGAUAAGCGCUGAAAGCAUCUAAGCGCGAAACUUGCCUCGAGAUGAGUCUUCCCUGGGGCUUUAAGCCCCCUGAAGGAACGUUAAAGACUAUGACGUUGAUAGGCUGGGUGUGUAAGUGCAGCGAUGCAUUGAGCUAACCAGUACUAAUGAUCCGUGAGGCUUAACC
rnacentral:rRNA from 1 species